CCGUUGCUGCCCUUGCUAAAUUCUCCCUUACACAUCUAAAAAAAAAAGUUGGUAACGAACCAAAGAGAACUAGAACUUUACAGAACAAUCCGUUGUGGAUCAACACGGAGGCAUUCCUCUCACACACAGGAGAACAGACACAGAUAGUGGGAUUAGUGAUCCACAGUGGAGACUCAUCUUUAAGAAAGUCUUAUUAGAGUUUGGACCAGUACAGGUAGCUACGUGCAACCGAGGGAAUAUACGUUCAGUGCUUCACAGUGAAGUGCCAUACUCAAGUUCUGAGAAGGAAAAUGAAUAAACAUUUAUUUUUAGAAAAUUAGAUUCUAAUUGUUAAAUUUCAUCUG
rnacentral:lncRNA from 1 species